rnacentral:rRNA from 1 species
CCUACGGGGGGCAGCAGUGAGGGAUAUUGCACAAUGGGGGAAACCCUGAUGCAGCAACGCCGCGUGUGGGAAGAAGGUUUUAGGAUUGUAAACCACUGUUCUUGGUGAAGAUAAUGACGGUAACCAUGGAGAAAGCUCCGGCUAACUACGUGCCAGCAGCCGUGGUAAUACGUAGGGAGCAAGCGUUGUCCGGAUUUAUUGGGUUUAAAGGGUGCGUAGGCGGACGCUUAAGUCAGCGGUAAAAUUGCGGGGCUCAACCUCGUCGUGCCGUUGAAACUGGGGGCCUUGAGUGGGCGAGAAGUACGCGGAAUGCGUGGUGUAGCGGUGAAAUGCAUAGAUAUCACGCAGAACUCCGAUUGCGAAGGCAGCGUACCGGCGCCCAACUGACGCUGAAGCACGAAGGCGUGGGUAUCGAACAGGAUUAGAUACCCGAGUAGUC